AUGGCCAUUGCCCUGGGUUGGUGAUCUUGGGACCUGAGGCAAUGAGAUACAGGACAAGAGGGAAUCAUUAAAGAGGCCUAAGCAAGGGCAAUGGGGAGCCACUUUCAUUAUAUAUUUGAAUGAUAAGGGUUUGGAUGCUCACCUUGCUAUUUAAUUUUUAUCAUCUGAUUCUGUGAUAACCUGACUCUGUAAAGUUUAAUCAGAAUGUGAAUUGGAGUGGCUUUGCCUUGUUUUUAAUCUUGACUACUCUUUCUCUCUCAGGUUGCAGAGGAAAUCUCUCAGUGCACUGGCUGGUGGGAUAGAAACACAUUCUUUUCCAAGAAAGGACUUUGUCUGACUCUAGGUGCAGCCUCAGGGCCCCAGGAGAACUCAUGCAGGGGAGGAGAUGGAACCCUGAGCAGUUUUACUGACACAUCCAUUUGGAGGCAAGAAAGAUGCUUAUGCCGUAGAGCAGCGGCAGAGUAUGGCUUUCAGGUUGAACAAGUCUCGUGCUAAAGGGGGUGCCAGCUGCAUGCAGUCUCUUGGCAGAGACACACUGUGCAAGAAGGGCAGAUGCGCAGGCCCAAGUAAGAUUGCUUAAGUGUGGUUUAUUCUUAAAUUAAUUUGUUUUUUGUUAUAACAGCAGUUCAAACUCAUAGUAAACUCAUAGCACUCUAUCUGUCCACAGGCAGUGGGAUCCAACGUUGGCUGAGCUGGGUGGUUUAUUGGUGCCAGGCUUAGCACCCACUUUAAAAUGAGGAUCCUCUCACCACUGGAGAGGGAGUCCAAACACCCUGCCAGGGCC